UUUGCGUAUGGGUGAGAAGGAGGCAGUGACGUGCGUGUGUGUAUGUGUGCGUUUCUGUGACUCUGCAACGCGCGUCGAUAUGCUCCGUCACUGCCCGCUGCACCGCUGCCUGCCCAUCAGCGUUGCUUGCCGCGUCCUCGGCUUCCAGGCGCCACCCACAAGCAAGCGCGACCUCCGGAAGAGGUUCGUGCAGCUCACGAAAGAAUGUCACCCAGACCUGCACGCCGACAAUGAGAAGGCCGCAACAGCGAAAAUGGUGCAGCUGACGGAGGCCUACACCUGCCUGAAAGAGCUGCUCGAGCACCGAGUGCAGUACCACCAAGGCGCCGGCCUCGGCCCGCGUCCCUCCAGCGCAAGUGCGAGCGGCGAGGGCAGUGCGGCAGCGCGCCCGCACGAAGAUGCGUGGGCAGAGGUGACGGCCAGCUUCCGCGCGCCGGGCUCGUCGAUAAGCCUGCGUGGCUUCACGCUGCCAUGGCAGCGCACCACCAGCAACUCGGUGAUUUCCUCACUGGAGGCGAAGAUGCGGGAGGCGAACGUGUCUUUCAGCGACUUUGUACGCUACGCGCGGCACCUCGAGAAGGACCGGCAGACGAAGGAAAACCGCAUCCGCGCAGACGCGGCCAUGGCAGACGGCACACACGGCUUCACGGCGGAGUACUUCGAGAGCGUGAACAAGAACAGCGCUGUCAGGCGUGCAACGGAACGGCGUAGGCUGCCCAUGACGCACCUCAUGACCCUCGGCGCCUUCUACUACGGCCGUCGACUGCGCAAUGGCAUCGAACAGGCACCGCGGGGUGCAUGGCGCACGCUCCGCUACGUCGUUCUCGGCCACUGAAGGGGACUCCUUGCUCAAGGAAGGUGGUAGGCAUGCCCCUUGGCUGUGAAGGUGUGUGCGAAACCUUGUCGCCUGCCCGCAUCGCACCUCUUCAUCUCCCUUCCCGCCUAUUGUCCAGACCACAUUCACGACACACCACC
rnacentral:misc_RNA from 1 species